GACGAACGCUAGCGGGAGGCUUAACACAUGCAAGUCGAGGGGCAUCACGAGGUAGCAAUACUUUGGUGGCGACCGGCGCACGGGUGAGUAACACGUAUGCAACCUUCCCUGUACAGGGGGAUAACCCGGAGAAAUUCGGACUAAUACCCCAUGAUGAUAUUAUGGGGCAUCCUUUAAUAUUUAAAGCUCUGGCGGUACAGGAUGGGCAUGCGCGACAUUAGCUAGUUGGUAAGGUAACGGCUUACCAAGGCGACGAUGUUUAGGGGACCUGAGAGGGUUGUCCCCCACACUGGUACUGAGACACGGACCAGACUCCUACGGGAGGCAGCAGUGAGGAAUAUUGGUCAAUGGGCGCAAGCCUGAACCAGCCAUCCCGCGUGCAGGAAGACGGCCCUAUGGGUUGUAAACUGCUUUUCCAGGGAGAGAAACUUACGCACGUGUUGCGUGACUGACGGUACCCUGGGAAUAAGCAUCGGCUAACUCCGUGCCAGCAGCCGCGGUAAAAGUGU
rnacentral:rRNA from 1 species